CCUACGGGAGGCAGCAGUGGGGAAUAUUGCACAAUGGGGGAAACCCUGAUGCAGCGACGCCGCGUGAAGGAAGAAGUAUUUCGGUAUGUAAACUUCUAUUAGCAGGGAAGAAAAUGACGGUACCUGACUAAGAAUCCCCGGCUAACAACGUUCAAGCAGCCGCGGUAAUAUGGAGGGGGCAGGCGUUAUCCGGAUUUACUGGGUGUAAAGGGAGCGUAGGGGGUGCAGCAAGUCAGAAGUGAAAGCCCGGGGCUCAACUCCGGGACUGCUUUUGAUACUGUUGAACUAGAUUGCAGGAGAGGUAAGUGGAAUUCCUAGUGUAGCGGUGAAAUGCUUGGAUAUUAGGAGGAACACCAGUGGCGAAGGCGGCUUACUAGACUGUAAAUGACGCUGAGGCUCGAAAGCGUGGGGAUCAAACAGGAUUAGAUACCCGAGUAGUC
rnacentral:rRNA from 1 species